CUUAACGCGCGAUUAAAAAAAUUAACGGCGUUAAUUAAUUGUUGCGUUAACGUGUGAUUAACGCAUUAAUGUGCCCAGCACAACUGAAGUAAGACAUGAUUUCUUCUGAUUCUGGCUGCUAGCUCCCAGUUUUUGUCCCACCAUGAUGAGAUAGACAUCUUUGUAAUCAAGCUGUAAAAAUGUUUCU